rnacentral:lncRNA from 1 species
AUGGGUCUGCUGUCCCAGCCCUGCCGUUCAGUCUACAUCUUCGCCAAGAAUGGCAUCCCCUUCGAGCUUCGCACAGUGGAGCUGACCAAGGAAGGUGCCGGGCCUUGAAGGAUGGGGACUUCACCUUGGCUGACAGUGUGGCUAGCUUGCUCUAUAUGAGCUGCAUGUACAAAGCACCUGACCACUGGUACCUCCAGGACCUGCAGGCCCGCGCCCAUGGGGAUCAGUACCUGUCAUGGCAGCACAUGGCCCUGCAGAGUAGCUGCUGCUGGGCCAUGUGGCAGACGGU